ACUAUGAGUUCUAGCCUCACCUUAAGCACAAAGUCUUCUGGGUGACCUUGGGCCAGUCAGCAUGUCUGAGCUCCAGGAAGGAAACCAGCACAAACCACUUCUAAAAUCUUGCUAAGAAAACUGGAAGGACUAAUCCAGGUAGUCACCAUUUGAGGAAAAUAGAUUUGAUCAUGACAUUUCAUUCAGAGGAGAAGAAGACAUUGGUGAAAUUAUUAAAUCACCACCAGGGAAAAGAAGAUAGACAACAGGACUUAGCCAGUGAUUAAAUGACUUUGAUCUGCACAUUCUGACUCUCUUAGAUUGCCAACGAGGAUACCAUUCAAGACCUAGCCUUCGUUCUCUGGCUUGAUUCAAAAAAACCGUCAGAGCAAGGAGGCAAUUUCACAUGAUUACAAACCUCCUGGAUGGAGUAAAUAAGUGAAAUGAGAGCUAAAUAUGCUAAAAUUUGUUGCACGUUGUGUUUAAAUACAGUCAGCCUGUGUACACUAUUAACCCUCCAUAGGGGAUGAAGACUGGAGAAAUCCCAUCAAAUAUAGAUUAUUACA